UAAAUAACAAUGCAGAGCCUCUGGUUUUGCAAUUGGAAUGAGAACAAUUUAAAUCCUUAUCGAGUAACAAUUGGAGGCAAGUCUGGUGCCAGCAGCCGCGUAAUUCCAGCUCCAAUAGCGUAUAUUAAAGUUGUUGCAGUUAAAAAGCUCGUAGUUGAACUUUUGGUGAGGUGCUGUGGUUUAGCAUUUGCUGGACUGCCGUGCUGAGCCUCUUUUGGGGAAACGUCACUUGUGCGGCGAACCGUGUUACUGUGAGGAAAUUAGAGUGUUUAAAGCAGGCGAUCGCUUGAAUACAUUAGCAUGGAAUAACAAGAUAGGACUUGGUUCUACUUGUUGGUUUGGGAGCCAAAGUAAUGAUUAAUAGGCCAGUUGGGGCAUUAGUAUUCAGCAGUCAGAGGUGAAAUUCUUGGAUUUGCUGAAGACUAACUAGUGCGAAAGCAUUUGCCAAGGAUGUUUUCAUUAAUCAAGAACGAAAGUUAGGGAUCGAAGACGAUCAGAUACCGUCGUAGUCUUAACUAUAAACGAUGCCGACUCGGAUCGCAGGUUCGUUCGCGAACCUGUCGCACCGUGUGAGAAAUCAAAGUUUUUGGUUCUGGGGGAGUAUGGUCGCAAGGCUGAAACUUAAAGGAAUUGACGGAAGGGCACCACAGGAGUGGAGCCUGCGGCUUAAUUUGACUCAACACGGGAAAACUCACCAGGUCGGACAUAGUAAGGAUUGACAGAUUGAGAGCUCUUUCUUGAUUCUGUGGUGGUGGUGCAUGGCCGUUCUUAGUUGGUGGAGUGAUUUGUCUGGUUAAUUCGAUAACGAACGAGACCUUAACCUGCUAACUAGAGCACAUUACGUGAGUAGUGUGUUACUUCUUAGAGGACUGACUAUGUUUAAUAGUCGGAAGUUUGAGCAAUAACAGGUCUGUGAUGCCUUAGAUGUUCUGGCUGCACGCGCGCUACACUGACAAAGGCAGCGAGUAUACCUUGGCGAGAGUCUGGGAAAUCUUGUUAAACUUUGUCGUGCUGGGAUAGAUCAUUGCAAUUAUUGGUCUUGAACGAGAAUUCCUAGUAAGCGCAAGUCAUCAGCUUGCGUUGAUUACGUCCUGCCUUUGUACACACCGCCGUCGCUACUACCGAUUGAAUGGCUUAGUGAGGC
rnacentral:rRNA from 1 species